CGACUCUCGGCAACGGAUAUCUCGGCUCUCGCAUCGAUGAAGAACGUAGCGAAAUGCGAUACUUGGUGUGAAUUGCAGAAUCCCGUGAACCAUCGAGUCUUUGAACGCAAGUUGCGCCCGAAGCCGUCAGGCUGAGGGCACGUCUGCCUGGGUGUCACG
rnacentral:rRNA from 1 species